rnacentral:rRNA from 1 species
GAUCAUGGCUCAGGAUGAACGCUAGCGACAGGCCUAACACAUGCAAGUCGAGGGGCAGCGGAGAGGUAGCAAUACCUUUGCCGGCGACCGGCGCACGGGUGAGUAACACGUAUGCAAUCCACCUGUAACAGGGGGAUAACCCGGAGAAAUCCGGACUAAUACCCCCAUAAUAUGGGCGCUCCGCAUGGAGAGUCCAUUAAAGAGAGCAAUCUUGGUUACAGACGAGCAUGCG